GUCGGGAAUUGAACCCGGGUCUCAGGCGCUGUGAGGCAGCAGUGCUAACCACUGUGCCACCAUGCCGCCCACAAAUGGAUAAGGACUGAUGGGGAAGUUUACAAAAAGUACAACUGAAAUAAUUUAAAUCCAAGAGUUUGAAACUGAAAGAAAUCAGUGUUUGUAAAAAGCAAGCUACUGCAUAUACUCGUAGUUAAAAAUCACACAUCACCAGGUUAUAGUCCAGCAGGUUUAUUUGGAGGCACUAGCUUUCGAAGCGCUGGUUCUUCAUCAGGUGGUUGUGAAGCAGUACCAUAAGACACAAUUUAUAGCAAAAGAUUACAGUGUUGUGCAGCUUAUACUGAAGUAUUAGUUGCAUUUUUUUUACUUUUAAGAUUAAAUUUAUGGGUUUGACUGUGAAGUGGAUACCAUUUUUGAGGCACUGAAAUUCAUGCCUGUCAAAAUUCAGACUAUCAUUCGGAGAAGCCCAAUUGAUCUCUAAACAAAUAAAGAAAAAUUUGUGGCAAUUCUGAAAACCCAGUGUGGAACACUACAGCCGAUGGACUGAACGUCUGGGAGCGGGACAACCGGCAGACUGGAAAGCUGGAGCCCGGUGUGAACAGCUGGUGCACUGAUUCAUAAAAGAUCUGUUAUCUGUGAAGAACUAGGGUUGUCUUUUACGUGAGAUAUAUGUGGAAAGUUUCAAGUUAUUUGGUCGAAAAUAGGGGUUUGACCUGUACGUGUGAUCGACUAUUACUCGAAUAUAUUCAGUAUUUAGGACUGCGAGGAGGAGGACCAUUUUCACUCAAUGGGUGAUAAAUCUUUGGAACUGAAAACAACAAAUGCUGGAGAUCUCAGUGGGUCAGACAGCAAACUAACAUUUCGAGUCUAGAUGACUUCUUCAGAGCUAAAAUGAAGUGUUUAUGAUUCUGUACUCAAGAGGAUCGUGGAAACCAGUCCUUCGUUCAAGACUAAUAGAUUUCCAGCUAGUAAUGACAUUCAAGGAUAUGAUCUGGUACAUAAUCAGCCAAGUUCUGGAAUGGUGUAGCAGGCUUGGGGAUUGAAAAGCCUACUCCUGCUUGCAUGUACCAGAUUUCCAUGUUUGGAUUUUCCGUAAAUCUCCAAACUGUGUGAAAAAUGAGACACCCUUGAGAAAAAGGCUGAUGUGCUGAGUCAGAUGCAUACAAAUGAAUAAAAGAAAUGAAAUAUUGACACAGUUACUACCAGCUGGAGGAGGAUGUUUAACUUUUUUUAAAAAUGAAAUUUAUGGGCUUAAAAGCAGUGCAGCAGUAAUGUAGUUGUGCUGAGGUCCACACUUGUUUUAUAUGGGAAGUCAGGGUGCUGCUAAAUUGGUUGUUUGUAUGUGGCCCUUGAGACCUGAUACAAAUGUAGACUUCAUUUCAGACUCCCCACUUGUUUGUUAAUUGUGUUGUGCCGAACCCCAGCUGACAUCUCCAGAAAGGCUGCACUCCUUUUUAAUGAAAAUGUUCAAAAUUUGAGCAAAGUGGGAGUGCCCCUACUAACUUGCUGAAAUAAUUUUGGCUUGCUACCAGUACUGCCUUACUCCCUGAGGCUUAUUGUCAAUGAAAUUUGCAAAGCCUUAACAUGCAAGGUACAUGGGGCUGCUUUUGUCGAUUUGUAGGCUACCUGAUUAAAAGUAAGGUACAGUGAAUUUACUUCAUCCUCUGGCUUCUUUGUACUGAUGGACUGUUACUGCAGCUGUCAGAAUAGAGUUUUAAUUUGAGACUCUAAGAAACUUGAGGUGCCCAGACCUGUCCAUUAUGCGAGAUGAACUAAGGUAAACUUUGAAGUACAAUGUUUAGAGGUCAGAUAAAAUAACUUGAUUAAUAUCCUAUGUGAGAAUGACACAAAGGAAAACCGUAUUGGCAUAAAUUUUGUUUGUUGUAAAAUACAUUCCAGUGUUUUAAAACCAUUUUAAAAUCCUAAUAACCAAAUUGAGCAAAGACUAAUCCUUGCAAUAUAUCAAUCAGCUAGCAGAGAAGAAAAAAAAUCCUUUUGUGUUGCAAUACCCAGAUUUUUGCUUCUGUCUUUUAGAUAUUUAGAUUUUCGAGCCUAAACCAGUGUAUAUAUCAUAUGUAGUUUCUCUCAGAUUGAAUGGUUUCAAGAUACAAGGCAACAAGUUAAACAUUAAUUGGAACUUAACCAGUAAUUGUUUGAAAGUAAGUGGUUGCUUCAUUUAAAUGUGAGGUUAACUAAGCAACUGUGGAUUUGGCCUUUGGAGUGAUCAAUUGCUUAUGAAAUAGAAUGUUCCACUUCAGUGCUGUGUUUUAUCUGAAUUUGUAAAUUAUUUUUCAACAGUACAGUGUUUCCAAAACCAUUCAAUUUGAUUUAUAUUUUGUUCUUAAAUGAGCCCUGCUUUCUUUGAAGGCAAUCCUUUUCAUUUGUAAAUACAAUGGGAAUAACUGAGUCUCCCAGGAGAGAUGCAGAAUGGGCAGUUGAAUCAAUAUAGUCUGUUUUAUGCUAUCAUUCCAAGUCAAUUUAAUUCUAUCAAGUUCUAUUAUGUGUAUGACAAUGAGAAAUUAUUGUAGCAUAUCUCUACAUGCUGUGUGAUUGAAAUGUAAGAGGAAAACCAAUAUGACAGUAAUGCUUGACAAGGCUUUUUAAUUACAAUUAAUAGUCAACUUUUUUGACCGAUCACAAGAUAAAGAAAGGAGUGAGGCCAUUCAGCCCAUUUUAGGUAAUCCAUCAACUUUUUUUUUGAAAAGCUUAUGGUCUUCCCAGGCUUAAAAUUGCUGGAGGCAUUUAUCUUCACAGCUUGCUCCAAAGUACAUUCUAAUUGUCAAUCAUUUAUCACGUAAAAACAUCUUUUAAUGUCCAUUCCAAGCUUGUAUUUCUCCAGUUUCUUAUGUCCUUUUUCUCUUUGUCAAACUUUUGAAGGUGUGUUCCUACUUUAUUUACUCAGUACAGUGUAAUACAUUAUGUUCAUGUUUGCAGGGAACCUCUUGCUAUACUGCAAGUGUCAAGAGCCAUUGUUUUAUUAAUAUUGUUUCUUAUUUCAACCUGUUAACAUUUGUGAAGAAAUUUUGGUAUGUAGUAACCUGUUUUGAUAAGACCUUGAACAAUAGCCUGAUCAACAUCAAAAUACAAAAUUUGCUGACUUCAUCAUCCCUCCUCUGAGUUUGCUUCAGGCCUUGAAAUAGCCUUGCCCAGAGCUUUGCUGGAAACAAGCAAACCUAAAAAUGUGCAAUUGUGCACAAGCCAUUCUCAUCACAGCUUGGCCAAGUCAGCAUCCUUUAAUGGCUGCAUGAAAAGACAUGGGUGUUAAGUGGACUUUUUAGUAUAUUAGUUGGGACGAGGAUGUGCAUAGUAGCUGAGCCUCUGAAAAUGUUUGGACUUUUUAAAAGCAUAUUCAAAUGUGGACCUCUUACGAAGAGAGUAUUGUUGGGGAAACUAAAUGCAUCACCAGAAGGUGACUGAUACACCUCAGCAACUGGCAGCAUCAAUUGCCAUUUUCAGUUUGUCAGAGAAGCAGGCAUGUAAGUGGGUGCCUGGCUUUGGGUUGAUAUUAACUUUGGUGACAUCAGUAGUCAUGCUCCUAGCAUUUUCCCCCAAGCAUUAUUAAUUGCUAGUUUGGGACACUAUAGUACAUGUGUAAUAUCACUUUUUUUUUUAUUUCACUGUAUGGUAUUUUAACUCACUCGAUCUUCAGCUCAAUUACAGAUUUGGCUCUUGUUUGCUAAUGGUUGCUGCUUUUCUCAGUUUUCAGAAUGGUUCAGACCUGUUUUACCCCAGAAUUGCAGUGUCUAUUAAAGCUUUUUGCACAGAUUCUGCUCCACCCAUUCCCUUCUAUUCCUUUUGUAAAUGAUAUCUGAUUUACCAAUUGUUUUCAAACAAUAUACAUCUCUUUUUUUUUAAAAAAAAGUAACAAUGACUUUUCUCUAGCCAUUUAUUAUUUUUUUUAACUCCUAUGCUGUAUGUAUUUGCUCACAUAAUUAGGUAUUGCAAUACAUCGUGUAGCUUUUUGUUGUGCAUGUAUUCUACUAAUGUGGAUUGUAUGUCUGUUCCCAAUGUUGAAACCUAACCUAAAGUAUUUGGUCUAUCUCACUGGGGAUAGACAGCACAUAUGGACUCAAAGCUAUGCAUUAAAACCAUAGUCAACUGGCAUUUCUUAAGUACUGCUAGAAUGCCUGAGGAGCAUUUAGAACGCAUUCUUGAGAUUGAUGCUAUGUAGAGGAUAUUGAUUAGCUGUCAUGUGGUCCUCUUUUGAAUAUAUCCUCAUUUUUUUUAUUGGAGUCUUUAAUUUCAGAAGCUCAAUCACCAAUGGAAUCAAUAAGCCAAAUUAAGAACUCAGCUUUUCAAAUGCACUUGUUUCAGACUCUCUUGUUGAUUCAUGCCCUGGGGUAGGUAGGACUUGAACCCUGAACUUCUGGUCUAGAGAAGUGUGCCACAAGAUGCCUUUUUUUUCUUGUGGGUUUUUACUGAACUUUAUAUUGCCAAACAGAAAAAGGAGUUAUUGUGUAGUUGGGUUAGCCAAAGUGUGAUGGUGCUGUACUGAGAACUUGGAGUUCCUCAUCAGCAGCUUUUGUGCAGCGUAUUACCUCCUUUUCACUGGGGCAUUUCCACUGUACUAGAAAUGUAAAUGAAUUGAUCCCAAAUUUAUGGAAUGGAGUUAACCUAUUUGAACAUGGAUGUGACAAGUCCUUUGGGAGCAAAAUGAAUACAUCAUCAUUGAUCAAUAUAUAACAAGGUGGAAAUGAAAAAUACAAAAUACUAUUGUCAAAUUGAAAUGUGUUAAAGUGUUUAUAAGUAUUCUGGAAACAAAUGUUAUUCAUUGUACGCUAUAUAUCACUUAAGUAGAUCCAUUAAUAAUGCUGUAAAAGUGGGAUAUUGAUUUGAGUGUAACAAUCAUCUCAGUGUUUUGACUGACCUCUCCAAAAGGACCAUUGCCUCAAUCAUUUUUGCUGCUUCACAUUUUGUUCUGAAAAAGGAAAGAAACAUAAAGAAUGUUCAUUUUUCUUCCCCUGUGUGCUGAACUGCUUAUCUGAUCUUCACAUUUGAUCAGAUUGUGUUUAUGCAAAUGUUUUAAAAACUCCUUUUUAUAAGCAAUGAAAUCAAAAAGAGAAUAGUGCAAGAGUAUUACUAAAAUGGUGAAAAGUAUGAUAAUAGCUCAACUUAUUAUUGGAGCAUGAAGCUAAUUUUGUGUAGAUAAUGGUGUUAUCGGGUCCAAAAGAACACAAGGUUUCUCUUCAUCUUUAUGCUCAUAUUUAUAAUCCACAGGCCCUGCUAUGUAUGCUUUGUUCCUUAGUGAAAAAAUUCUGGCAGAAAGGGAUUUUUUAAAAAAUCGAAGAAACAUGUUAAUUAUUAUGGUGCAAUUUAAGACACUACAAAGAGUAUAAAUUGAACUUUAUGCAAGUAAGAACCUAUUACUAUAGAGAAGUAGAAGUUGUAGCAAUAAUACCAUUUAAACGUAGUGAACAUAUUAAGCUACCUAAUGAAAUACAUGUUUUAUUUCUUUGACGUGAGUACAGAAAAGCUACUUGUAUUGGAUUUUAUUUUUAAAUCCCAGAACUCUAGAUCGAAUUUUGAUCAUUUGCUUUAAAUGUUUUUUUAAAUAUUCUUUUUUGAUUUGUUGGUCCCCUUGCAUGCAUUUAUAGUUUGAGGGAUUUUUUUUAGUUUUAGUUAGCAAACAUGGGUAACAGAGUGGGGAAAAAAUACAACAUGGCAUUGGCUCAAUAGGUACCAAAUCUGGCAGCGAACACCAGAUUCCUCAGUGAGGUACAGGUUUACCAUUGCACAGUACAGUUUAUUGAGUAAGCCAAAUUUGGGACUGCGUGUUAAAUGGCUCCAUCAUCAAUUCAUAAAGUUAUGUCUGAUAACCUCAAAUUCAUUUACAGGUUUUCUGUUUAUCUACACUACAGAAGUAUAGAAUUUCUUAUUAUGUAAUAUUCCUGUCACUGGAGAUUAUUUGCUGAAGCCAGUGGCUGGAAUAAUUGGAGACCCAAUGGUUGUUUGAUAUUCACGCACUGAAGUGUGCAUAAUUUAGUCUGCAGUUCCUUUUUGGUGUUGGAUUUGUGCUUGUAAGUGUUUGCGUGGGUCUGUGUUGAAGGCACGUGGGCAGUUUGCAGAUAAAUCGCAGGGCUUUAAAUAUCAAGGUCGGGGGAAGGUAACACGACAAUGAGAGAUUACUAGCUCAAGAACAUCUGAUCUCCACACAAGCCAGGGCAUGGAGAUGGAGACUGAUUUUUUUUUUAAGCAAUGCACUUUGAUUGUUGUUCUGUUAACACUCUGUUCAGGGAAUAUGUUCAUGCAAAUGCACAGAUCUGUGUUCAACUGCUACAAAGCAAAAUGUGUUUUCUGUUCAAGUACAAUGUCUGUUGCGCUGUUUAAACAAUUAAUAUGCAUCACACUGUAAACUUGCAGAUCAAACAAAAUGUGCAUCUGGAAACUGGUGUUAAAUGUGAAAGACUCAAAGUAUGUGCUGUAAUAAAAAUUCUAUUUUUGCCAUUCGUGUCUCUGUGCAUUUCCUGGAACAAUUGUAGUUGUAAGGGUUUAUUGUAAAAGCCUCCUAUUGAACAAGCUAAGGAAAGUUUUAACCUUUUAUGAUGGUGUAGUGUGGAGAGAUAGAAUGUCUGUGACUUUCUUUCACCUACUUGACUGCCAAAAGUAUUAUUGGAUGUGCUUAAUGUUUUUCAUUUUAAGUUUAAGAAUAUUCUCUGUUCAGUCAACUCCUUAAUCCUGAUUUACAUCUCUGCUGUUGGCAUGUCUGCUCCAAACAUGAAUAAAGUUCAUCAAAGAGGAGUCAUGCUAUAUAGAAUCAGAUUUUUUUCAUACAGAAUGAAGUUUCUGUUCAGUAUUUUAAAUACUAGUUUUAUUGGUAAGUGAUAUAACAGUGCAGGCUUUACUAGACUAGCAAAUUAAGCCAUGAGUUCAAAUUUGCAUUCUAGCAGAUUGGCAAAAUAUAAUUAAAUAUUGUAGUUUGGCACCAGGAAUCAAAUUGCCUUGCAAAUUGUGGAAUGUUCAUACAACCCAGGUGGUUUACUAAUACACUUUAAAGGGAAAAUGCCAUACUACUUGGACAAAGACUUUGGGAAAAUAAAAUUCAACUAUGUGCAUUGCUGGCUAGACCAGACUUUAUUGCAAAUCCUUAAUUGCCCAUGAACUGGUUGGCUCCCUAGGCCAUUUCAGAGGACAGUUUGAAAUAUCAUCUGCAUUGCUGUGGAUAUGGAGUCCUUUUAGGCCAGGCCGUAAGAAUAUCAGAUUUGAACCAGAAGGGUUUUCACCACAAUUGACAGUGGUUACAUGAUUGGCUUUAGGCUAGCUCUGUCUUCCAGAUUUCUCAAUAACCUUUAAUUCAAGUUUCACAGCCAGCCGUGGUUGGAUUUGAACACUGCCUUGAGGAUCACUGAUCAGAGGUUCUGAAUAACUAGUCCAAUAGUUGUUGCGAUGAUCAUACCACUUUAAGUACCACCUUUUUCAGGUAAUGUAUGCAGUUGUGGGAAUGUUGCCCUCCUAGAACAAAAGCAGAAUACACUUAAGUGCAGAAAAGUCAUCGAUGUCAUUCCUACCUUAUUUUUGAAUCAAACUACAGCGUAGACUUAACUACAGAGUUGAUGCAAAGAAUUGAGAGGAUAUUAAAUGCUUGAGUACCUUGAUAAAUGAAUAAUCUUUUGUGAGCUUCAUUUAUUUCUGUUACCCAAAUUUAAUGUAAACUUUAAGAUUUGACAUUUCUUGUAAAUGCGCACUUAAUUUCAAUUAAUAACACUGGUUUCUACUGCCUUAAGCUACUUUUUAUGGUUUUAUAGUUUUGUAUGUUUAAUAGUUUGCAGUUAAGAAUCCAAUCACAUUGAGUGGAACUAUGAAAAUAAAAAACUACUAGAUAUUCUUAGAUAUAACCUUUUACUAAAUGUUUUACAGUGAUACUUUAUUCCCAGCGUUGUUUACCGAACAGCAUAAAUCUGUGGGGAGAGAUGAAGAGGAAAAACUGUAGCAUAAUAUAAACUCAAGUUGAUACUUCAGAUGGGCCCAGGAGAGCAGGAUUCCAUCAUGCUGUUAUCAGUGGUGUUACCGCACUGUACUUUGGAUCUCUAACUACUUAUCCAUCUUCAGUCACUUACCUUCCUCACCUGAGCGUCAAAAACACAGUCGAGAUGAUCAUAGCUCCCAGACAUUAUUUACUCCUCCACUCAAGGUGUUGGCGCUGAUGGUAUGCAUAGACGGCCAAUCUAUUGAAAUGAAAUUAAUUUGAAAAUAGUGACUUUCACUCACAAACAAUCAUUGCCACCUAUAGAGGGAAAUGGGGGCUUAAUCUAUGGGUUCCCAGAUUCAAAUGCUCUUGAACCUGUUCACUCAAACUGGAGGGUCAGAAAGGGCAGAAAGUAAACCUGGAAAGACAACAAAAACAUAAAGAAGCACUUUUAUAAAUUGAGUACUGGUUCCUAAUGAAUCAUCAUGGUUGGAAGCCUGCUUUUGGACAACAGCCAGAAGGCAUUUCUGGCAGGCCCUACUUUGGGUGAGCUGAAAAGGUGGGAGAAAUAGUGGAGCUCAGCUUUCCUAUCAAUGUGAGAAGGAAACUUUGCAGAUUCUGGGAGGAGAGCCAUAAGACUGUUGGAGAUUGGAACAGUGGAAGGGAAUUUGCCAACGGAGGCUGCGUCAGAACAUUCUGUUUCCUCUUCUAUUGUAUAUAUCACAAACUGAUACUCAACCAUGUUAUGAAAUCCUGAUGUCAUUUUUAAUUGAAUGUGAUGCAUGAGUUAACGCUCUGCAGAAACCAUUGUUCCCUCUUUAAUGUUUUGAAAUCUGCCACAUCAUGAGAAAGGUGUGGUCCUCCUUCAUCUAGGAAUGGUGGCAUUUCACAUUGUAGGCAUGUGUGGGGAUGCUGAUCCUUCAACAAGGUUAUGCUGACCUUGGCUUUUUUUUUCAGAGAAGUCGUAAAAGCAGCAAUUCCAUAAAGUCUGGCUUGGAUGGGUUUUAGGGCCAAUUUGAUGAUUGCUAACUGAUACUGCCUUAGGAAAAAGGCUUUCAAGUUUAAAAAGGAACACUUGUACAAUGAAAGGGGAGUGGCCAG